GCGCCCGUAGCUCAGCUGGAUAGAGCGCUGCCCUCCGGAGGCAGAGGUCUCAGGUUCGAAUCCUGGCGGGCGUACCA
rnacentral:tRNA from 1 species